AUUAAACGCUGGCGGCAGGCCUAACACAUGCAAGUCGAACGGUAACAGGAAGCAGCUUGCUGCUUUGCUGACGAGUGGCGGACGGGUGAGUAAUGUCUGGGAAACUGCCUGAUGGAGGGGGAUAACUACUGGAAACGGUAGCUAAUACCGCAUAACGUCGCAAGACCAAAGAGGGGGACCUUCGGGCCUCUUGCCAUCGGAUGUGCCCAGAUGGGAUUAGCUAGUAGGUGGGGUAACGGCUCACCUAGGCGACGAUCCCUAGCUGGUCUGAGAGGAUGACCAGCCACACUGGAACUGAGACACGGUCCAGACUCCUACGGGAGGCAGCAGUGGGGAAUAUUGCACAAUGGGCGCAAGCCUGAUGCAGCCAUGCCGCGUGUAUGAAGAAGGCCUUCGGGUUGUAAAGUACUUUCAGCGGGGAGGAAGGGAGUAAAGUUAAUACCUUUGCUCAUUGACGUUACCCGCAGAAGAAGCACCGGCUAACUCCGUG
rnacentral:rRNA from 1 species